CCUACGGGCGGCAGCAGUGGGGAAUCUUCCGCAAUGGGCGAAAGCCUGACGGAGCAACGCCGCGUGAUCGAAUGAAGGCCUUCGGGUUGUAAAGAUCUGUUGACAGGGACGAAUAAGCAAUGCGAAUAGUUUUGUGUAUGACGGUACCUGUUUAGAAAGCUCCGGCUAACUACGUGCCAGCAGCCGCGGUAAUACGUAGGGGGCAAGCGUUAUCCGGAUUUACUGGGUGUAAAGGGGGCGCAGACGGCGAUGCAAGCCAGGAGUGAAAGCCCGGGGCCCAACCCCGGGACUGCUCUUGGAACUGCGUGGCUGGAGUGCAGGAGGGGCAGGCGGAAUUCCUGGUGUAGCGGUGAAAUGCGUAGAUAUCAGGAGGAACACCGGUGGCGAAGGCGGCCUGCUGGACUGCAACUGACGUUGAGGCCCGAAAGCGUGGGGAGCAAACAGGAUUAGAUACCCCUGUAGUC
rnacentral:rRNA from 1 species